rnacentral:lncRNA from 1 species
CCUCAGCUCAGCAGGGGACAGAAAAUUGAGAUUAUAGUUAAUCGGCAAAAUACUGUGGACAAAAAUCUCCAGUGUCUGAACUCCCCUGGCAACCACCAAUCUGAUGUCUGUCUCUAUGGAUUACCCUCCUCUGGACUUUUCACAAGAGCACAGGAAUUGCACUGGCCCAGCUUCGACACUGCUUUGCAGGAAGAAGGGGUCUAGAGCGGAAUCUGGUGACAAAGCAGCCCUGGGUCAUUUGGCUGGCGGCUCACACACCCCCAGGAGCACCUCCAAGGGACUCAGUACUCUCCAGUGCUAAGGCAAGAAAAUGUUCCAAAGGAUGGUUCUGACUGUAUUUGAAUUAUAAUUAAAGUUGCAAAUAACCCA